rnacentral:rRNA from 1 species
GGAGUUUGGGCCGUGUCUCAGUCCCAAUGUGGCCGUUCACCCUCUCAGGCCGGCUACUGAUCGUCGCCUUGGUGGGCCGUUACCUCACCAACUAGCUAAUCAGACGCGGGUCCAUCUUAUACCACCGGAGUUUUUCACACUAAGCCAUGCAGCUUUGUGCGCUUAUGCGGUAUUAGCACCUAUUUCUAAGUGUUAUCCCCCGGUAUAAGGCAGGUUACCCACGCGUUACUCACCCGUCCGCCACUAAGUUUAGAAUCGCAAGCUUCAUCUAAACUCCGUUCGACUUGCAUGUGUUAAGCACGCCGCCAGCGUUCAUC